GCACCCGUAGCGCAGCUAGAGCGCCACCCUCCGAAGGUGGAGGCCGCAUGUUCGAAUCGUGCCGGGUGCG
rnacentral:tRNA from 1 species